rnacentral:rRNA from 1 species
UUUGCGCAUGGGCGAAAGCCUGNGCAGCGACGCCGCGUGGGUGAUGAAGGCCUUCGGGUCGUAAAGCCCUGUCAAGAGGGACGAAACCUCGCCGACCCAAUACGUCGGCGACCUGACGGUACCUCUGAAGGAAGCACCGGCUAACUCCGUGCCAGCAGCCGCGGUAAUACGGAGGGUGCGAGCGUUGUUCGGAAUUACUGGGCGUAAAGCGCGUGUAGGCGGCCUCCUCAGUCUGGUGUGAAAGCCCGGGGCUCACCCCCGGAAGUGCAUUGGAUACUGGGAGGCUGGAGUACCGGAGAGGAGGGUGGAAUUCCUGGUGUAGCGGUGAAAUGCGUAGAUAUCAGGAGGAACACCGGUGGCGAAGGCGGCCCUCUGGACGGAUACUGACGCUGAGACGCGAAAGCGUGGGGAGCAAACAGGAUUAGAUACCCUGGUAGUCCACGCCGUAAACGAUGGGCACUAGGUGUUCGGGGUAUUGACCCCCUGAGUGCCGCAGCUAACGCAUUAAGUGCCCCGCCUGGGGAAUACGGCCGCAAGGUUAAAACUCAAAGGAAUUGACGGA